rnacentral:pre_miRNA from 1 species
GAGAUACCCGUAUGGAGUAGGACUUGCUUCAAUGGGGCUUUGGUGUUCACUGAGUCUGCCCCUUGAGUGUGUUGCU